rnacentral:pre_miRNA from 1 species
CGUCCAAACAAGUCCUCCAAAUUAAUUAUUUGGGUUAAUAUAGUUCUUGGAUCCAAAAAAGUGCCACGUGAGCAUGCCAAGUCAUCCUCACAUGCAGCGGUAUGAAUGAAAUGACCAUUCUACCCUUAUAUACCACCUAGAAAAGAAAGAAAAAAAAGAAGAUAAAUGUUUUCACACGUGUAUGUUCGUUUUAGAAUUGUCACUUACGAUUGUUGCUGGCCUGUUAUUUUUUUCUGUUUGUGUUUUUUCUUUCUUUUUUAUAUGGUAUAUAAAGGUAGAAUGGUCAUUUCAUUCAUACCGCUACAUGCGAGGAUGACUUGGCAUGCUUACGUGGCACUUUUUGUGGGUCUAAGGACUAUAUUAACCCAAAUGAUUAAUUUGGAUGACUUGUUUGGUCG